rfam:Gossypium arboreum cultivar AKA8401 contig_2046_3, whole genome shotgun sequence.
AGGAGCCGUAUGAGGUGAAAAUCUCAUGUACGGUUUUGGAACAGAGAAUUCUUUGUAUAUAUUUAUUCAUUAUGGUAACUUUGUUCAACUAUAU